rnacentral:rRNA from 1 species
AUGGCAGCUCAGUCUUUCAAAGAUGCUCGUAGGGAUAGGACGUGCGUGCGUGCGUUCAUGAGGACUGAGUGUAUGCUCAUAGGGGCGUCCUUCCUCGGCAUCCUCGUCGCCGGGGCCGGGCAUGCGGCGCAGGAGGCCGCCGCGGGGCUCUCGCCGGCGGAGUUCCGCCUGGCCCUCCCGCGCAGCCGGGAGUUCCUCGAUAUCGACCUGCCCCGCUUCCACCGCGCCACCUCCAUCGAGCUGCGCGGCCAUUGCCUCCGCCUCACGCUGCCGCCACGCCCCGCCGGGUUCCCCGCGCUCCAGAGGCUGUCCCUCUCCGGCUGCCGCGUCGACCUCGCCGACCUGACCCCCCUCUGCCCGCGCCUGCGCGUGCUCGCCGUCGCCGAGGGCCUCCUCGACAGCAACAUCACAGUCAAAUCGGGGUCGUUGGAGGAACUGGCUGCGGCGAACCUGAGCAGAUGGACCGGCCGCAUCGACGUCGACGCUCCCAUGCUCAAGAAACUGGCGCUGUCCUUCUCCAUCGACGGCGAGCUCGGCGUGUCCAUCGUGGCACCGAUUGUGGACAAGGUCUCCUGGGAGUGCAGCUAUUCCAGGCUCACCGUCGGGCUCGAUCCUUGGAGCCUCUCAAGCGUGAGCUUACAUGCCGCCGCUGAGGUGCCCGGGGAAGACGACGGCGCACGCUUGCAGCAGCACUCCAACGUGCUGUCCCUGCACAUAACUCACCUUCGAGCAGGAGAUUGGGAAACAUCUGGUUACCUCCGGAUUCUCUGCUCUGGAGCCACUUUUCACGACAAUGGAGUGUGA